ACUGGAGAACGAAAUGAAAAAUUACUGACUUGAACAAAGCCUUCUUUGAAAAUGAAAACUUACUUCUGAGUCUGUGGAGGACAUCUUUCAAGUGGAGAGACAUUCGUUGGAGUUUCACUUUCAAAAACAACACUAUCACCUUUCAAAAACGAUGAUUUUCGAAUUCUUUCACGGGAUUGGGAAGAGCUUAUCACUGUGGAAAGUCGGUCGUCUUGAGAAGAAAUACUGAUGUCAUCCAUAUGCUGAAGGAUCUCACUGUAAUAAACGACAUUUGAAAAUUA